rnacentral:pre_miRNA from 1 species
AUCACCUAGGAGUUGUGUUAAAAUGCAGAUUCUGAUUCAGUGAGGUUCUGCAUUUCUAGCAAGUUCCCACGUGAUGCUGG